rnacentral:rRNA from 1 species
GAAGGACGUGCUAAUCUGCGAAAAGCGCCGGUAAGGUGAUAUGAACCGUUAUAACCGGCGAUGUCCGAAUGGGGAAACCCAGUGUGACUCGUCACACUAUCAUUAACUGAAUCCAUAGGUUAAUGAGGCGAACCGGGGGAACUGAAACAUCUAAGUACCCCGAGGAAAAGAAAUCAACCGAGAUUCCCCCAGUAGCGGCGAGCGAACGGGGAGGAGCCCAGAGCCUGAAUCAGCAUGUGUGUUAGUGGAAGCGUCUGGAAAGGCGCGCGAUACAGGGUGACAGCCCCGUACACAAAAGCGCAUGUGCUGUGAGCUCGAUGAGUAGGGCGGGACACGUGGUAUCCUGUCUGAAUAUGGGGGGACCAUCCUCCAAGGCUAAAUACUCCUGACUGACCGAUAGUGAACCAGUACCGUGAGGGAAAGGCGAAAAGAACCCCGGCGAGGGGAGUGAAACAGAACCUGAAACCGU